rnacentral:tRNA from 1 species
GCUAACGUAGCAAAACCCGGCCCUGCCAAAGACCUAAACUCUUUUUACAGAAGUUCAAAUCUUCUCGUUAGCU